AGGACGAACGCUGGCGGCGUGCUUAACACAUGCAAGUCGAGCGGACAUCUUCGGAUGUUAGCGGCGAACGGGUGAGUAACACGUGGGCAACCUGCCCCUAGCUCUGGGAUAACUCCGGGAAACCGGGGCUAAUACUGGAUAUGACCGAUCCAUGCAUGUGGGUUGGUGGAAAGUUUUUCGGCUAGGGAUGGGCCCGCGGCCUAUCAGCUUGUUGGUGGGUGAUGGCCUACCAAGGCGACGACGGGUA
rnacentral:rRNA from 1 species